AUACCAGCUGGCUGCAACUGUUUAUUAAAAACACAGCACUGUGCAAACACGAAAGUGGACGUAUACGGUGUGACGCCUGCCCGGUGCCGGAAGGUUAAUUGAUGGGGUUAUCCGUAAGGAGAAGCUCUUGAUCGAAGCCCCGGUAAACGGCGGCCGUAACUAUAACGGUCCUAAGGUAGCGAAAUUCCUUGUCGGGUAAGUUCCGACCUGCACGAAUGGCGUAAUGAUGGCCAGGCUGUCUCCACCCGAGACUCAGUGAAAUUGAACUCGCUGUGAAGAUGCAGUGUACCCGCGGCAAGACGGAAAGACCCCGUGAACCUUUACUAUAGCUUGACACUGAACAUUGAGCCUUGAUGUGUAGGAUAGGUGGGAGGCUUUGAAGCGUGGACGCCAGUCUGCGUGGAGCCAACCUUGAAAUACCACCCUUUAAUGUUUGAUGUUCUAACGUUGGCCCCUUACCGGGGUUGCGGACAGUGUCUGGUGGGUAGUUUGACUGGGGCGGUCUCCUCCCAAAGCGUAACGGAGGAGCACGAAGGUUAGCUAAUCCUGGUCGGACAUCAGGAGGUUAGUGCAAUGGCAUAAGCUAGCUUGACUGCGAGCGUGACGGCGCGAGCAGGUGCGAAAGCAGGUCAUAGUGAUCCGGUGGUUCUGAAUGGAAGGGCCAUCGCUCAACGGAUAAAAGGUACUCCGGGGAUAACAGGCUGAUACCGCCCAAGAGUUCAUAUCGACGGCGGUGUUUGGCACCUCGAUGUCGGCUCAUCACAUCCUGGGGCUGAAGUAGGUCCCAAGGGUAUGGCUGUUCGCCAUUUAAAGUGGUACGCGAGCUGGGUUUAGAACGUCGUGAGACAGUUCGGUCCCUAUCUGCCGUGGGCGCUGGAGAAUUGAGGGGGGCUGCUCCUAGUACGAGAGGACCGGAGUGGACGCAUCACUGGUGUUCGGGUUGUCAUGCCAAUGGCACUGCCCGGUAGCUAAAUGCGGAAGAGAUAAGUGCUGAAAGCAUCUAAGCACGAAACUUGCCCCGAGAUGAGUUCUCCCUGAGACUUUAAGUCUCCUGAAGGAACGUUAAAGACGAUGACGUUGAUAGGCCGGGUGUGUAAGCGCAGCGAUGCGUUGAGCUAACCGGUACUAAUGAACCGUGAGGCUUAACCU
rnacentral:rRNA from 1 species